rnacentral:misc_RNA from 1 species
UUUCCGUAGGUGAACCUGCGGAAGGAUCAUUAUUGUAUAACCGAGGUGCGAGGGCUGUCGCUGACCCGAAAGGUCGUGCACGCCCGAGUGCCCUCACACAUCCAUCUCACCCCUAUGUGCACCACCGCGUGGGUCCCCCUUUGGCUUGUUCGGAGGGGGGCUUACGUUUUCACACAAACUUUGUAUGCAGUGUAGAAAGUAUUUUUUGUUUUUGCGAUCACGCAAUCAAUACAACUUUCAACAACGGAUCUCUUGGCUCUC